rnacentral:rRNA from 1 species
AAAAAGUCGGAGGAAGGUGGGGAUGACGUCAAAUCAUCAUGCCCUUAUGACCUGGGCUACACACGUGCUACAAUGGGCGGUACAAAGGGUCGCGAACCCGCAGGGGGAGCCAAUCCCAAAAAGCCGCUCUCAGUUCGGAUUGCAGGCUGCAACUCGCCUGCAUGAAGCCGGAAUCGCUAGUAAUCGCGGAUCAGCAUGCCGCGGUGAAUACGUUCCCGGGCCUU